rnacentral:rRNA from 1 species
GCCGCGUGAGGGAUGGAGGCCUUCCGCGUUGUAAACCUCUUUUAUCGGGGAGCAAGCGAGAGUGAGUUUACCCGUUGAAUAAGCACCGGCUAACUACGUGCCAGCAGCCGCGGUAAUACGUAGGGUGCAAGCGUUAUCCGGAAUUAUUGGGCGUAAAGGGCUCGUAGGCGGUUCGUCGCGUCCGGUGUGAAAGUCCAUCGCUUAACGGUGGAUCCGCGCCGGGUACGGGCGGGCUUGAGUGCGGUAGGGGAGACUGGAAUUCCCGGUGUAACGGUGGAAUGUGUAGAUAUCGGGAAGAACACCAAUGGCGAAGGCAGGUCUCUGGGCCGUUACUGACGCUGAGGAGCGAAAGCGUGGGGAGCGAACAGGAUUAGAUACCCUGGUAGUCCACGCCGUAAACGGUGGAUGCUGGAUGUGGGGCCCGUUCCACGGGUUCCGUGUCGGAGCUAACGCGUUAAGCAUCCCGCCUGGGGAGUACGGCCGCAAGGCUAAAACUCAAAGAAAUUGACGGGGGCCCGCACAAGCGGCGGAGCAUGCGGAUUAAUUCGAUGCAACGCGAAGAACCUUACCUGGGCUUGACAUGUUCCCGACGGUCGUAGAGAUACGGCUUCCCUUCGGGGCGGGUUCACAGGUGGUGCAUGGUCGUCGUCAGCUCGUGUCGUGAGAUGUUGGGUUAAGUCCCGCAACGAGCGCAACCCUCGCCCCGUGUUGCCAGCGGAAUAUGCCGGGGACUCACGGGGGACCGCCGGGGGUAACUCGGAGGAAGGUGGGGAUGACGUCNGAUCAUCAUGCCCCUUUACGUCAGGGCUUCACGCAUGCUACAAUGGGCGGUACAACGGGAUGCGACGCGNCGACCCGGAAGCGGAUCCCUGAAAACGGUCUCAAGUCGGAUCGCAGUCUGCAACUCGACUGCNUGAAGGCNGAGUCGCUAGUAAUCGCAAUCAGCAACGUCGCGGUGAAUGCGUUCCCGGGCCUUGACAAACCGCCCGUCAGUCUUGAAGUGGGCAGNACCCGAAGCCGGUGCCUACCCCUUUGGGAAGAGACCCCCCUAAGGGAGGUCUCGAUUGGGAACAAAUCCAAAAGGGGCCGUACCGAGGGG